ensembl:lncRNA
CGAGGUAUUAAAUGCUAAGUACGAACAGGGCAAGAAUGAAAAUAAUAGACCAUUUAAGCUUCAUCAGAGAGGAGUCAUCCUGGAACCAGUCAGCCUGAUAUGAUUAGCUCUGGGUAAAGACCGUGUCAGGCGCUCGGCGUACUGCAGCGUCUGGGGACCAUAAAUAGGGACGGACUGAUUCUGCUUCCUGUCAGCAGCCAGCACAGAGGACGAGGACGUGGUGUAUUGGAUGUGAGACAGAGAGCCAGCUAGAGAUACGGCAAGGUGUCGCUUCCGCUUGUAGCGCACCACACUAUACAGAGAAACUUUCACCCAGAAUGCAUAGCAGCAAGCAGCAUGUGGUGUGCGGCUGAGUUCCUGUCUCGCUUUCAGAAGGACCUCUGCACCAGCACCACACACAGUUGUAUUUUGGCACAUAGAAUCGCAUAAUUCCGAGUGCGAGGAUGUGACCGGCUCCGAGAAGAACGUCCGAAUUGUCGUUUGUAAUUCUGGUAAUUCCCACAUGGCAUGAACGCAGAGUGAGU